CCUGCUCCAGAGCGCGUCGGCCGUGAGGGGGCAGGCACAUCCUUGCAGGAUGAGCUUCCUGCAGAGGAGGCAGACUUCUCAACUGCCCCCAGUAAUUGGAAAGCAGUAAAAAGGCAACGUGCCCAUUCGGCGAGCUCUGAUCCCAUCACCAAUCAAAGAGACUGAUUUAGAUCGGUGGAGCUGCCAGGCUGGUCCCACUCGGGAGAGUUAGUGGUGAUAUUAACUGGAGGAAAUUCUACAGACUGCUGCUCAUCACCAAUGUUUCCUUUGCUGCAUAGGAAGCAUCACUCUUCAUUUCUUGUCCAGAAGAAUCUGAAGAACUGAGUGCCUGAAGAAUUUGCAUGGAAACAUUCAUCCCUCUCAAGUAAAUAAAAUCUCACCCCAAGGUCAUGGCAGCAGGUCAGCUCUUUCUGCACAAAUUGGGCCCUGUGCAAUUUCCUUCACCGAAGCCUUUGCCUUCAGCAGAACUGCCAUGCUCUGUACCCUAGGAGGAAGGGAAGCAGCAGGAUCAGAGCCCACUGGUGUGACGUCCAGGCAACCGGCAAGUUGCCCUGUCACACAGUGGUAAUUAGCGGAGCACAGGACCAAGCACAUCCAGCCACACAAAGGCAGCAGUGCUUGGAGUGUGUGAUGGGAUGCCCGUUUGUUGGCUCCAGGCGGCGCAAGGGCUUUGUUACCCCGUGCAGAGCUGCCUGGGAGUUACGGGGCAAGGUACUGAAGUCCCAGGAAGCAAAGAAAAUUGGAUGAUAACACUGGACUCGAAGGACAUCUUCUGGAGAUGUUGAUGCUGCAAAACAUGCAAGCCUACAGCAAUUCAUCCUUUCCAAGAGCAGAUGUGUGUUUGCCUGCUAGGUGUGCUUAACUACAUGCGUGCAGAUGGAGUUGUAUAUUGCUGAAGAGACAAACAUGACAUAUGUAGAGCCAGUGCUUUCAAAAGACUUGGUCAAAAGGACUGAACUUGGAAAGGUACUCGGGAGAGGAACCUGCCACAGCUGAAAUCAAAUCAGAAACAUGGGAUUUGUCUAAGCAGAAGGUGGAGAGGCUCCAGCUCGAGACAGUUGCAGACCUCAAGGCCAGGGCACUUCAGAAUCCUGCUCCAGGAUGCUCACCCCAUGAGCUUGCUGGGUACCUCUGGAAUCUCCUGAUCAUCAUCCCAAGGGCUUGUUUCUUGUCCUUUGGCAGCACAGUAGAGGCAAGAAACUUAUCAGCUCUGAUUCAGGGUCCCCUCUGUGACUCUUAGGAUGCUCGGGGCAGCCCUUUCCCUCGGCCAGCCUCCCAGCUGUUGACAUUAUCCUCUUUGCUGGGUUGAUGUAAUUAUGCCCACAUCUGUUGAUGAACGCACAGUGAUGAUCAGUGAAGAAAGAACAUGCUGAGAUGCAUGAACACCCAUUAUCACCCAGCACGGGGGGGCAGGAUCAGGCAGAAGGAGAAGGAGGCUGCUGCUCCUGGGAAAGAAGAGGAAGGGCUCCCCUUGUCCAUAUGUCACAGUGGCACGUGUGCUCCAGCACUAAUGCUGCCACUUGCAAACAGGCUCUGCCCACACAAGGCAGGAGUAAUAAGUAACAGGUAACGACCUAAGGAGAAGGUUGCACCAGCAGGGUACUUCUGCUCUUACAUUUCAGAUUUGUGCAUUGCGAAUGAUUCAGUACAGAGGGGAGAGGGAAGGACAGAGAGGUGCCCAGCGAUGGUGUAUCUGAAAUGGUCCCUGGCUUUGUAUUCGUGCCCCCUCUCCUGCCACUCCCAGUCUGGCAUGUUCUCUGAGAAAGGACCUGUGCAAAGGAAUUAUGGAAGACACAGCCCAUAAAUAACAAAGCCCAGGGUGUCCUGCAUGGAUUUAAGCACAAAAUGGAAAAAGUCAGUGUGGGCUCACCACUUGCCUUGACAGUCUCUGUUCUGCACCUUGAAUUUCAUAGGCCAUUUUUUUCCUCACUAGUACUGAUGUACAACAGAGGCAGAAUGAGCAGGCUCCUUGGGAUCACAGACAGCUCUCAAAGCAGCAUCUUUGCCAUGCAUAAUCAAAACCCAGCUCUUGUUAUUUAUUCACCACAAAGAAAAAAGACUUCUGAACCACUGUGAGGAAAAAAGCAUGUGCGUGCCUGCGUGUUCGUGCCUGUACGUGCAUGACUGCAUGCAACCAACUGUGCGUGCACAAGAGCUGGGAGCCACCUGCAGCCGUAGUCCCUGUGCUGCCCAGCAGAGCCCUCGUGUACACCUCCAAACGUGUGGAGCCCCCAGCACUGACGGGGAGCCCAGGCAGCUCCGGGAGCUGUGGCUUACUCUCCUCUGUGCAGCCCCGGCUCCAGCCCGAGGAGCUGGUUAUUAAUUUAAGUUCAUUUGAAAUGUGCACAGAAGUUGUCUGCUCAGAGCCCAGGCACCCUGCCAGGCGGUGCCUGUUAGGGGACAGCCGAGCACGGUGCAGGCUCUGCCCCUCCAUGACGUGCUGGGGCUGAGGCUCUAGGGCUGCUCGUCCAGGACAGGACACAUGAGGGUGUUGGGGGUGGCUGUGCCCCCCCAGCAGGGCACUGCCCUGCCCUGCUCCUGCUCGGUGCCUGGGCGAUGUGGUGGGCUCCCUGCUGGGCAGGGCUCCCUCCCAGCGGGCUCCAGAAAGCUGUGGUCUGGGCUGCUCUGUGAUGCCACAAACACCUCCUCUGUCCUUGUAUUUCCAUAUUUUUGCUUUUGGCUUAAAUUGAAGCUAGGAACUGAUGACAGAUGUGAAAACUAAGCAAGCCAGCCUGCAAAGACACUGCAGCCCCUGCUGGAGGUUUAACUUCAGUGCAACAGAUCUGAUCUUCCAAGCCUUUCCUCUAAUUGCGCUCUCCACCUGCUGUCCAUGGUGGAACAACUUCUGAAGCCACCCUCAGCAUAAGAGAAAGCUUUGGGCUCUUUCAUCUUGCUGGUGACAGGAGACUCAAAUGCAGCUGGUCCAUGGCUGUGGCUGCAGGCUGAGGCUUGCAGAUGCUUGGUUUCCUCUUGCCUCUCAAAAUCACAGGCUGGGCAGCAGGAGGCCCGUUCUGUGCAGCCCGAUUUGUUUCCAGCAUUAGGCGAGAGUGAGUGCCAGGCUCCUCGCUGCAGUGACAGCAUCGAUCGCCGCCCUUGGGACCACGUGCAAAUAAAGACAGAGGGGAAGGAGGCAGCUGCAGAGCAUGUUUUCAUUCUGCUCUCGUGGAUGCUGAGGGAGGAAGGCGGGCAGGCUAGACAGUCACAGUGGUGUGGGGUUUACGGAGGGACACAGCUAAUUGUGUCUCCAGGUCUGCCUCUUUCCCAGUGGGCGCCUGGAGCUUUCCUACUGCACUCCCUCUCAACACAAAAUCCUUUUAAAACCUGUUUCAGGAGCCCAUGCAGGGAAGCUGUAACCUCAGGCAGUGCAAGCCAGCAAGCGUGAAAAAUCUCUGGUCCUGCAGCUGGGGGAGGCAUCACGAGGCUGGCUGGGGCUGGGGCAGGAGAAACACAGCUGUGGCUCCUCCAGACCUGCCAGCAAAGGGUGCAGGGCAGCAGUGAUGCUCCUCUGAGUACACUUGUGAACUGAGCUGAUUUAAUAAACAACAGGAGUGUUUUCCCAGACCACAUGCUGAGCUGUAUUCAAAAUACAUUUGUACGAACAUCAAUUUUUAAUGCAAUUUAUGCCAAAUGUUGUUGCAAAAGGCAGCCGUUAACAUGACAUUAAUUCAAUCACUGGAAAUACAGUACGUGCUGCUAAAUGAAAACAUGUUAUUAGUCAAUUAAAUUAACUAGAUGUAACUCUUCCAAAUGCAACGUAUUAUGGUUUGUAUAUGGUUAAUUACGUUGUACAAAUUACAUGGCAAUAAGGGUUAGCACUGGACACACACAAUUAAUACAUAUGCAGAAAAAAAAAAAACAACUUGCAAUUCGCAGUUGAGA